rnacentral:rRNA from 1 species
UACGAAGGGGGCUAGCGUUGCUCGGAAUCACUGGGCGUAAAGCGCACGUAGGCGGACUCUUAAGUCGGUGGUGAAAUCCUGGAGCUCAACUCCAGAACUGCCUUCGAUACUGAGAGUCUCGAGUCCGGGAGAGGUGAGUGGAACUGCGAGUGUAGAGGUGAAAUUCGUAGAUAUUCGCAAGAACACCAGUGGCGAAGGCGGCUCACUGGCCCGGUACUGACGCUGAGGAGCGAAAGCGUGGGGAGCGAACAGG